rnacentral:rRNA from 1 species
UACGGGGGAGGCAAGCGUUGUUCGGAAUUACUGGGCGUAAAGGGCUUGUAGGUGGCCAACUAAGUCAGACGUGAAAUCCCUCGGCUUAACCGGGGAACUGCGUCUGAUACUGGAUGGCUUGAGUGUGGGAGAGGGAUGCGGAAUUCCAGGUGUAGCGGUGAAAUGCGUAGAUAUCUGGAGGAACACCGGUGGCGAAGGCGGCAUCCUGGACCAUUACUGACACUGAUAAGCGAAAGCCAGGGGAGCAAACGGG